rnacentral:sRNA from 1 species
GCCAGGUGUGGUGGCGCACACCUGUAAUCCCAGCAGCUCAGGAGGUCUGAGGCAGGAGGAUAGGAGUUCAAAGCCAGCCUCAGCAAAAGCAAGGUGCUAAGCAACUCAGUGAGACCCUGUCUCUA